CGGUGAAAUUUAAAUUCCAGUGAAGAUGCUGGGUACCCGCGACAGGACGGAAAGACCCCGUGGAGCUUUACUGUAGCUUGAUAUUGAAUGUUUGUGCUGCAUGUGCAGGAUAGGUAGGAGACUUUGAAGUCGGAACGCUAGUUUCGAUUGAGUCACCCUUGAGAUACUACCCCUGUUGUAUGAACGUUCUAACUCUGAUCAGUUAUCCUGAUCGAAGACAGUGUCUGGCAGGCAGUUUGACUGGGGCGGUCGCCUCCUAAAAGAUAACGGAGGCGCUCAAAGGUUUGCUCAGAAUGGUUGGAAAUCAUUCGUAGCGUGUAAAGGCAUAAGCAAGCUUGACUGUGAGACUGACAAGUCGAGCAGGUACGAAAGUAGGACUUAGUGAUCCGGUGGUUCCGUAUGGAAGGGCCAUCGCUCAACGGACAAAAGCUACCCCGGGGAUAACAGGCUCAUCUCCCCCAAGAGUCCACAUCGACGGGGAGGUUUGGCACCUCGAUGUCGGCUCAUCGCAUCCUGGGGCUGUAGUCGGUCCCAAGGGUUGGGCUGUUCGCCCAUUAAAGCGGUACGCGAGCUGGGUUCAGAACGUCGUGAGACAGUUCGGUCCCUAUCCGUCGUGGGCGCAGGAAAUUUGAGAGGAUCUGUCCUUAGUACGAGAGGACCGGGAUGGACAUACCUCUGGUGUACCAGUUGUUCUGCCAAGAGCACCGCUGGGUAGCUACGUAUGGAUUAGAUAAUCGCUGAAAGCAUCUAAGUGAGAAACUAACCUC
rnacentral:rRNA from 1 species